GCGGAUGUGGCGGAAUGGUAGACGCGCUAGUUUCAGGUACUAGUGUACGCAAGUACGUGGAGGUUCAAGUCCUCUCAUCCGCACCA
rnacentral:tRNA from 1 species